CUGUACCACGAUCCACCAUGGAUCGAGCGUGGGUAUUUCCAAUGCGUUUCUCAUAGUUCACGGUACUAUUCCAUGGACCGAUCGCGAUCGGACGGCUUAGAAAGUUUCCAGUCUUGAUCCGACGGUUCAGAGGCUUGAUUUGGCUUGUUUAGGAGAUCUAAAUCUAAUCUAAUUAGGUUUAAACCUUGUUCAAGGCCUUUAAAAGGCCUAUGCCUCAACAGAGAGGCGCGGGUGAUUCGGUUUUUUGCAGAGGACGCCGUGUGGAACUCGAGAAGGGAAGGAGAGAGGCGUGAGGCCGCUGAGAGAGAAGGAGCAGAGCUCCUAGACAGCAGAUGCCGGUCACUUCAGGGGUUCAGGAGUCUUCCAAAAGAGAGAGAGCUUUUGAGAGAAGAACUUCAGGUGAGAGAAAAAUUGGGUAUACAAAGGUUGAGGGUGAGGUUUCCUCUUGUAAAAUUUUUUUUCAUAGUGAAGUUUGCAUGCCCUAUGGAGGCAAGCCCUUUUGUGGCUGAUCCACGUAUUUUGAUUGUUUUAUUUUA
rnacentral:lncRNA from 1 species